rnacentral:lncRNA from 1 species
GUUGUGAUGUUAUGCUAUUGUUUCAGAAAAAGGGAGAAGGUUUGGAUCCAUUAAAACGUUUAAUCCCGCUGCAAAUGUUUGCACCUGUCCUAAGUCAGGAAUCUGAUGUACAGUAGUUGUCGUUUGUUUAUGUAAUAUAUACGUGUUUCUCGUUUCUCGUUUUGUUUACAUAGAUUAGACCGUUGGUUUUCCCGUUUGAAUGGUUUUACACUAGUAAUUUUGGGGCCCUUUAUAGCUUGUUGUUCGGUGUGAGCCAAAGCUCCGUGUUGAAGGCCGUACUUUAACCUAUAAUGGUUUACUUUUUAAAUUGUUAUUUGUAUGGAGAGUUGUCUCAUUGGCACUCACACCACAUCUUCCUAUAUCUAUUUUAAGACAGCUU